rnacentral:lncRNA from 1 species
GAAAAUUGGGGGCAUUGUCUUUCUUUUUAGGGAGAAUGUGCCUCCACAAGAUGCAGAAGUAGUUCAUGGAAAUCCCUUAAAACAAGCUAACAAAACUAAACGGUCUUGCCCAUUUGGAAGAGUCCCAGUUAACCUUCUAAAUAGUCCAGAUUAUCAAAUGAAGACAGAUGAGUCAGUUAUGCCAAGUUUUACAAAGAGGCAGAUCUCUAGAACAGAAUGUCGAGAUUUGAUUAUCCCUGCAUCUAAACCAAGUGGAAAUAAUUCCUCUGAAUUGAGAAAUUUAAA